GUGCUCGCUUCGGUGGCACCUGCACUAAAGCUGGGACGAUCCAGAGGAGGUUAGUGCGGCCCCUGCGUGGGGAUGACAUGCCCAUUUGUGAAGUGUUCCAUAGUUUG